rnacentral:lncRNA from 1 species
GCGGCCAAGAGAGGCAGCCCUCACUUCCCAGAAAACUUCAAUUCCUCAUUACCUGUGUCAGCUGGGGUUCAAUCAGGAGACAGAAACCACACCAGUUAGUCUGAAAAGAGAAUUCAGCAUAAGGAACUGAUAAUGAGGUCCUGACUUGAAUCAAAAGGAAGGAGACUGAGCCUCUCAGAGGACCAGGAACCAAGCCAAGGCUUGACAAAACCAGCCUCUCUCUCUCUGGUGUCUGGAAAGGCAGGCAUUGAGAGAGAUGACCUUGGCCAGGCCGCGCAGGAAGACGGGAAAAUUGCUUACAGCUCUGACAAGGAGCUGCACCCUGCGAAAACAGCCUUUGGAUUGUUGACUCACCAAACUAGCCAGUUCGUGUUAAUGCAGCUGUGAUACAGGAUGGCUUUGCUGCCUCCUAGGUGGCAAGACAAAGGGACGUGAGGAGGGGACAAAAGGGAA